UACAGAGGUGGCAAGCGUUGUUCGGAAUUACUGGGCGUAAAGGGCGCGUAGGCGGCCUCGCAAGUCCCGUGUGAAAUCCCUCGGCUCAACUGAGGAAUGGCACGGGAAACUGCGGGGCUUGAGUUCGGGAGAGGGAAGCGGAAUUCCGGGUGUAGCGGUGAAAUGCGUAGAUAUCCGGAGGAACACCGGUGGCGAAGGCGGCAUCCUGGACCAACAUUGACGCUGAGGAGCGAAAGCUAGGGGAGCAAACGGG
rnacentral:rRNA from 1 species